rnacentral:rRNA from 1 species
CCUACGGGAGGCUGCAGUGAGGAAUAUUGGUCAAUGGGCGCGAGCCUGAACCAACCAAGUAGCGUGAAGGAUGACUGCCCUACGGGUUGUAAACUUCUUUUAUAAAGGAAUAAAGUGAGGCACGUGUGCCUUUUUGUAUGUACUUUAUGAAUAAGGAUCGGCUAACUCCGUGCCAGCAGCCGCGGUAAUACGGAGGAUCCGAGCGUUAUCCGGAUUUAUUGGGUUUAAAGGGCGUGCAGCCGGAGAGACAAGUCAGAUGUGAAAUCCGCAGGCUCAACUUCGGAAUUGCCUCUGAUACUGUUCGGCUAGAGAGUAGUUGCGGUAGGCGGAAUGUAUGGUGUAGCGGUGAAAUGCUUAGAGAUCAUACAGAACACCGAUUGCGAAGGCAGCUUACCAAGCUACUUCUGACGUUGAGGCACGAAAGCGUGGGGAGCAAACAGGAUUAGAUACCCUUGUAGUC